CGUAUUACGGGCUUAUUCCAUUAUGGGGGUAUGCCAAAAAUUGGCUGUUUUAUGGGUGAUUUCUAUUCCUUCUCAGACACCGUUUGGCUACUCCUUUUCAAUUUUUACCCUCCCAACCCAAAAGCCCCCAAAACAAGAGCAAACAGAAGCUGCCAGCAAAGUCACCCCACAAGGCUCCACCCGCUCCCGAUUCACUGUUCAGGCAAGUGCUUCUUCACUUUAUUGGCGGCUGAUUUCUCUUUUGUUAGCUCCGAUUUUGUUACAGCUGAUUUGCAAAUGUUAGAUUUGCAAAUUUUAGGUCAUUUUCAGUCAAUAUCAGAUACUCAUGAAAAAUGCCGACUUCCCUUCUUCGUUCUCCCAUAUCUCUCUACUUCCCCUUUCCUACCAUUUUCCGGCGCAAUUCCGAAGCAUUCAUUUUAGGGUCUUUUUUUUCUUGGUGGAUUGAUUUGCAGUAUUUCAUUUUUCAUGCUCUUUUGUUGUUUUAUUCUUGGUAGUCAUCUUCAUGUUUCUUUCUUUAAUAUUUUUUAAAAAUCCUGAUGAAUUUUUCAUACUCAUUUGCUUUUCUUAUAUUCAAAUAUAAUGUAGUUAAAACAAACAAACAAAAAGAAAGAUUUUGUGUGCAUCAUCUCCAGAUCCGUAUAUUAUAUAUAAAAUGGUGAUGGUUGGGGGAUGGUUGUUGGAAAAGAAUCCUUUUAUAUAUAUAUAUAUAUCUUUCAGCCAUUUUGGUAAUGUAACGAACCAAAGUUCUGAUUUUCUUUUCACUCUUUUGUUGAAUGGGAUUUUUGUUUCAUCAACUCUAUAAAUGCAUUUCAGAUUUUGAGUUUCUAUAUUAAGCAUGUAUCUUUGACAUUUCAGAUUUGCAAAUGUAAAUUACAGUUUGUAUUUUGGGUUUUUUUUUUCUUUCCAAUAUUGUGGUUUGCUUGUUUGUCAACCUGUUUUCCUAUUUUCUUCUGGGUAUUGAUUGAAAAUGACCUAAAAUUUCACCUUUCAUUUUUUGCAUAUGCAUUGCAUUUUUUGCAUUUCUAAUUUCACCUUUCUCUGCUGUUUCAUUCAUGCAUUCACGCAAAUGCUCAUUUUUUUUCCUUUUCUGAUCUGGUGUUUCUUGUUUAUGGAUUUGAGCAUAAAAUGUUCUGAUUAAUCUAAUAACAUUAUGUGAAAUCAUAUAAAAAUAAAGUUAAACAAAGAUGUUGCCAAUGCCAUCCAGUGAGCUGAUGAGAUGGUUAAUCUAAUGUUCUGAGAUGGCCAAUCCUCUAAUGCAGACCCUGCAUAGUCAUGAUGGAAACAAAUCCGUUAAUGAUACUUACACCUAAAUUCGAAUAAACAGCUCUAGAUUUAAAGGUGUGGUUGUAGUUUAAGUUACAUAAUUUGCAAUAUAUAGUUAUGUUUUUUUUUUCUUUGCAAUUGUUAAAAUUUCAAGUUUACCAUUAUUACAGAAUCUAGCUACCUCUUAUGUCUUAAUGCUGUCAAAUGUUUCUUUAGAAACACUAUUGAUUUGGAUUUUUUGUUUUCAAUCGUGCUUAAAUAGUAGUAAACUCAAGCUGGAUUUUUUUUUUUCAAAAUUUGCUUCUUUUUCUAGGAAUAUUAUUAUUAGGUUUCUCUGCCAAAUAUGUAAGUUCCGAUGACAAAAUUUAGUUGUCUUUAAGAUGUUGGAUGUGGUUGUUCGAAUGGUUCUUACAAUUUUAUCAUUUGGAGCUUUAAUUAGUUAGGAUGGAACUAGGUUUAUGUUAUUUUAUGUAUCUAGUUUGUGAAACUUUGGUGGUAUUUGAAUUGGUUUUUGUAUUGUUCUAGACUUGUUGAAUUAUAAUUUAUUUUCUUUUGAUUCAUCAUGUAUUAUAAUUUUAUAAAGUGUUGACCUUUUGAUUCAUAAUAUUGAACUGAAUUUUAAUUUUUUUUUUCUUAAGAUAAUUAUGUCAGGUUUUCCAGAAUCAAAUGUUUCUUCCCAAAGUUCUCGAGGAACCAAAAGGAAAUAGGUUUCCGAAGAAGAUGCUGCGUUGGUUUCUUGUAUGGUCGACUUGCACAAUGUUGGAACCUUUAAUGCUGAUACGGGAUUUAAAGCCGGUUAUUUAAAUGAGUUGGAAAAAAUGUUAGAAAAAGUUUUACCCAAUGCAAUGUUAAAGGCUAAACCUGAUAUUGAAUCGAGGAUUAGACUACUGAAAAGGGAUUGGUCAAUCGUUUAUGACAUGCUUAAUGGAAAAAAUAAUAGCGAUUUUGGUUAGGAUGAGCAUAGGCAGCUCGUUGUUGCUGAAGAUGCGGUGUGGAACUCAUAUAUAAAUAGUCAUAAAGAAGCAGGUCAAUUUAAACAUCGUAGUUUCCCUUAUUACGACCAACUUACUGUCAUCUACACAAAAGAUCGAGCCACUGGAAAAGAUGCUCAAAUAGCCGCUGUUAUCAUUGAAGAAAUAAAUGUUGAGGAUGUAGCUACUACAAAUAUUCAUGAAGAAAGAAACGAUUUUUAUGAAUGUGAAGCUGAUGUCUCUUUGGAUGACAUGAAUGUUUCAGCUACAGAACUACAAUCAGAUAGAAGCCAAGGGAGUUCCACAUCUUCAAAGAACAUAAAAAAGAAUUCUGAUGCAAGUGAUCAUAUUUCUUUUUCAUUUCAUAAUGCUAUCACUUUAUUGGCGGAAAGCAUGCGGGUUGUAGGCGAGCAAAUCAGUAGGAGUAUUGUCUCUGAUGUGGUAAUUCAACUAAAGUCAGAAGAAUUCCAGGUCAUCCAAGAAAAAGUUAUAAAUUUAUAUCCAACAUUUGUGAAAUAGAAGGUUUAACUGUGGAUGAGCGUUAUCGAGCAUUGAGCAAAAUUCCAGAUCAUCCAACGCAAAUGCUCAUUUUCUUUAGUUUACCUUCUUCUGUACGAUUGGAAUGGGUCAGGAGAUUUCUUGCUAACAAUUAAAAAUCAUGGUUGUAUUGAUGAUAUUUUGGUAAAUUUUUGAGUUUAUAAUAUUUGGGACGGUAUAAUAACA